UCUCAUCGUAUAAAAUAAUCAUCAAACUCGAUCCACGUGGUCUGCUACUACUGGAGUUGAAUUUGUAAAGUUACAUAAAAAGAGAAGGGAAGAAGGGAAUUAGUACAACAUAACCUGUAAGUCUCAUAGACCAUCACCUAAAGGCCGUGGCAAGGCUUUAUGCAUUACAGAAAAUUAAUGUGUGCCACAAAUCCUUGGAAGCCACACGUCGCUUAAAACUGAUAAUUUAGUGGUAAUUUGCGAUAGAGGAACCGAAAUGAAAUCCUAAGAGUUCAAUCCUUCUGGCCUUGAACUCCUUUCCUAAUGUUCUUCUGAAUCAGAAUAACUCUCCCCGACUGAGAAGAAACAAAAAGGGUCAGUAGAAGUUCGACAAGUCACAUUAUUCAGAUGCAGAUUUAGAACAUGUUCAAUCAAACUCACAUCUUUCAACUCAACGUCAUGUGAGCACACACAUACAUUUUUUGGAGAGCUAAAUUGCUUAUAUUACAUCUUAACUAACAAUUAUUUACUAAUUCAAAAAAUGAGCUGCAAAUAUUGAUGUAUAAUUUUAUAGACUCUAUAUAAUAUUAUUUACUCUAUAAUCUUUUUGACAAUAUUAUAUGUGUUUUUUAAAAAAAAAAAAUUAAUUUCUAUAUGGGAUAUAGACACAACACGCUUCAUAGAGACUAUAAAACCAAAGAUAUACAUUUACAUUUAUGAAUAAACAUCGUGUGACGAACUAGCAUCAACAGUCUAUAACAGUAUCAAAUUGUUAAUCCAUUGUUUCCCUUCUCAAUAUAGGUUAGAGUAAAGCAUCUAGUACCCUCCUAAACUAUGACCAAAUUUUCUACAACAUACUCCCACUUCAUGGGGUCUCUAUUACCCCCGAACAAAAUUUUAGCAUAUUUUCACCAACCUUUUUAGCUGAUGUGGCAC
rnacentral:lncRNA from 1 species